rnacentral:misc_RNA from 1 species
UACGUAGGGGGCGAGCGUUGUCCGGAUUCAUUGGGCGUAAAGAGCUCGUAGGCGGUUCGGUAAGUCGGAUGUGAAAACUCCGGGCUCAACUCGGAGAGGCCAUCUGAUACUGCUGUGACUUGAGUUCGGUAGAGGAGUGUGGAAUUCCCGGUGUAGCGGUGAAAUGCGCAGAUAUCGGGAGGAACACCAGCGGCGAAGGCGGCACUCUGGGCCGACACUGACGCUGAGGAGCGAAAGCGUGGGGAGCGAACAGG